UACGGAGGGUGCAAGCGUUAUCCGGAUUCACUGGGUUUAAAGGGUGCGUAGGUGGGCAGGUAAGUCAGUGGUGAAAUCUCCGAGCUUAACUCGGAAACUGCCAUUGAUACUAUUUGUCUUGAAUAUUGUGGAGGUAAGCGGAAUAUGUCAUGUAGCGGUGAAAUGCUUAGAUAUGACAUAGAACACCAAUUGCGAAGGCAGCUUACUACACAAUGAUUGACGCUGAGGCACGAAAGCGUGGGGAUCAAACAGG
rnacentral:rRNA from 1 species